rnacentral:rRNA from 1 species
AACGCGAAGAACCUUACCUGGGCUCGAAAUGUAGUGGACCGGGGUAGAAAUAUCCCUUCCCCGCAAGGGGCCGCUAUAUAGGUGCUGCAUGGCUGUCGUCAGCUCGUGUCGUGAGAUGUUGGGUUAAGUCCCGCAACGAGCGCAACCCUUAUCCCCAGUUGCCAUCAUUAAGUUGGGCACUCUGGUGAAACCGCCUCGGAUAACGGGGAGGAAGGUGGGGAUGACGUCAAGUCCUCAUGGCCUUUAUGUCCAGGGCUACACACGUGCUACAAUGGCCGGUACAAACCGUCGCAAACCCGUGAGGGGGAGCUAAUCGGAAAAAGCCGGCCUCAGUUCGGAUCGUAGUCUGCAACUCGACUACGUGAAGCUGGAAUCGCUAGUAAUCGCGGAUCAGAACGCCGCGGUGAAUACGUUCCCGGGCCUUGUACACACCGCUCGCGA